UUGAUCCUGGCUCAGAAUCAACGCUGGCGGCGUGCCUCAGACAUGCAAGUCGAACGAUUAAAGCUCUCUUCGGAGAGUGUAUAGAGUGGCGCACGGGUGUGUAACACGUAAGUAAUCUACCUUCGAGUGGGGAAUAACCCGGGGAAACCUGAGCUAAUACCGCAUAAUGCAGCGGCACCUAAUGGUGACAGUUGUUAAAUAUUUAUCGCUUGAAGAGGAGCUUGCGGCAGAUUAGCUAGUUGGUAAGGUUAUGGCUUACCAAGGCUACGAUCUGUAACCGGUCUAAGAGGACGGUCGGUUACACUGACACUGAAUAACGGGUCAGACUCCUACGGGAGGCAGCAGUCGGUAAUUUUGGGCAAUGGGCGAAAGCCUGACCCAGCAACGCCGCGUGAAGGAUGAAGUAUUUCGGUAUGUAAACUUCGAAAGAAUGGGAAGAAUAAAUGACGUUACCAUUUAUAAGGUCCGGCUAACUACGUGCCAGCAGCCGCGGUAAUAAUGU
rnacentral:rRNA from 1 species